GAUGAACGCUGGCGGCGUGCUUAACACAUGCAAGUCGAACGAAGCACUUUAUUUGAUUUCCUUCGGGACUGUUUAUUUUGUGACUGAGUGGCGGACGGGUGAGUAACUCGUGGGUAACCUGCCUUGUACAGGGGGAUAACAGUUGGAAACGGCUGCUAAUACCGCAUAAGCGCACAGCAUCGCAUGAUGCAGUGUGAAAAACUCCGGUGGUAUAAGAUGGCCCCGCGUUGGUUUAGCGAGUUGGUGAGGUAACGGCCCACCAAGGCGACGAACCAUAGCUGACCGGGGAGGGUGACCGGCCACAUUGGGACUGAGACACGGCCCAAACUCCGACGGGAGGCAGCAGUGGGGAAUAUUGCACAAUGGGCGAAAGCCUGAUGCAGCGACGCCGCGUGAGAGAAGAAGUAUGUCGGUAUGUAAAGCUCUAUCAGCAGAGAAGAUAAUGACGGUACCUGACUAAGAAGCACCGGCUAAAUACGUG
rnacentral:rRNA from 1 species